UGCUGAUGUGAAAACAUUUGCUCAGGGUCA
rnacentral:piRNA from 1 species